AACGCCAGGGAGAGGGACACAGAGAUAGUGUGUCUUUGUAAUUAAUGCCUUGUCUUUUCCUGUCCACUCUUUGGUGCUCCUGAGUUUCUGAUUGAGACUUCAAAUGGCUCUAAUGGGUCCCAUUCAGGUGACACUUGAUGGGUUUUAACAAAGGUGUUUGAAGAAUCUAUGAGACCUCCUCUGUGGACCCCAGAUUCAGGAAGUUGUGGAAAGAUACUGGAAAAUACAAAAGAAGAACUCAAGCAAAACUUCCACACCGAUGUAACAAUCCUACAACUCAGAGAGGUGGCAACAACAGAGAAGCCUGAUUUCUGAGGCCAUGAUGUUUUCCAGGUUCUAACAGUACAAUAAGCAAAGAGAAUACCUAGAGGCAACAGCUUAGAAAUGAAGAAAUAAAACAACUUCUUCAGAGGAUAUAUUAUCAUUUACAUAGAAAAACCUAAAGACUUGACGGAAGAGCUACCAGCACUAAGAAAUGAGUCAGGCAAUGUUGGAUGGUGAAAGUUCAUACACUAAAUUUCAUAUAUAGCAAUGACCAAUGUAAAUCGAAGCCAGAAUGACAUCAAGAGCAUCAGAGUCAGGAGAUACUGGUAGAAAUAUGUUUGAUGAGACAUGUGCAAGAUCUGAACAAUGAUGGGAGAGGCCAAAUUUCAAAUAUGAAAUGUGUAAUGGGAAAAAAAAAUUCCAUAUCCAUUGAUCAGAAAGGAUAUCAAUAUUGUCAACCUGUCAUUUCUCUCCCAUUUUGAUCCUUGGAUUGAAUACAGUUCCAACUGAAAUCCUUCCAGGGUUUUAUGUGUGUGCUUUAUGUGGAAAUUGACAAGCUAAUUUAAAAAAAAAUUGCAUAGCUAUGCAAAGAACCUAGAAUAAUUAAAACAAUUUUGAAAAAUGAAGAACACACAGUACUUCUAUCAAGGCUUACCUCUAAAUUCUGUAAUUAAAACUAUGUGGCAUCAACAAUGUGAGAAAUGCAGAUUGACAGAGCAGAGUGAUCAUGUUGUUAGUUAUUUGGGGGUAAUUUAUUUUUCCGCUUCUUAAAACAAAAAUCAUCUACACUCAGUUCAACCAUUCAUCCCAAUUCUUCCUUAUCACAUCACCCAGCAGGUCUGGAAGCUGCUCUCCUCCAGAUGAGCUUAGAGGCUCCCCCUCUAUAGAAACUGCAGCUAUUCAGGCAGUUUCCAAAGCUUUUUUUUUUUUUUUUUUUUUUU